CCCUUAGAUGUUCUGGGCCGCACGCGCGCUACACUGACGAAUGCAACGAGCUUAUAACCUUGGCCGAAAGGUCUGGGUAAUCUCCAAAUUUCGUCGUGAUGGGGAUAGAUUAUUGCAAUUAUUAAUCUUCAACGAGGAAUGCCUAGUAAGCGCAAGUCAUCAGCUUGCGUUGAUUGCGUCCCUGCCCUUUGUACACACCGCCCGUCGCUCCUACCGAUUGAAUGGUCCGGUGAAGCGUUCGGACCGUGGCCUUUGGACGGUUCGCCGUCUGUUGGCUGCGGGAAGUUCGUUAAACCUUAUCAUUUAGAGGAAGGAGAANUCGUAACA
rnacentral:rRNA from 1 species